rnacentral:rRNA from 1 species
UGUUCNGCUUACACAUGCAGNCNAANGUNAACANAGCUUGCUCUGUGGAUCAGUGGCGAACGGGUGAGUAACACGUGAGCAACCUGCCCUUGACUCUGGGAUAAGCGCUGGAAACGGCGUCUAAUACCGGAUAUGAGCUGCGAUCGCAUGGUCAGCAGUUGGAAAGAUUUUUCGGUCUGGGAUGGGCUCACGGCCUAUCAGCUUGUUGGUGAGGUAAUGGCUCACCAAGGCGUCGACGGGUAGCCGGCCUGAGAGGGUGACCGGCCACACUGGGACUGAGACACGGCCCAGACUCCUACGGGAGGCAGCAGUGGGGAAUAUUGCACAAUGGGCGAAAGCCUGAUGCAGCAACGCCGCGUGAGGGAUGACGGCCUUCGGGUUGUAAACCUCUUUUAGCAGGGAAGAAGCGAAAGUGACGGUACCUGCAGAAAAAGCGCCGGCUAACUACGUGCCAGCAGCCGCGGUAAUACGUAGGGCGCAAGCGUUAUCCGGAAUUAUUGGGCGUAAAGAGCUCGUAGCGGUUUGUCGCUCUGCUGUGAAAUCCCGAGGCUCAACCUCGGUCUGCAGUGGGUACGGGCAGACUAAAGUGCGGUAGGGGAGAUUGGAAUUCCUGGUGUAGCGUGGAUGCGCAGAUAUCAGGAGAACACGAUGGCGAAGC